rnacentral:rRNA from 1 species
CAGUAGCCGCGGGAAUACGUAGGGUGCAAGCGUUAAUCGGAAUUACUGGGCGUAAAGCGUGCGCAGGCGGUUAUAUAAGACAGAUGUGAAAUCCCGGGGCUCAACCUGGGAACUGCAUUUGUGACUGUAUAGCUAGAGUACGGCAGAGGGGGAUGGAAUUCCGCGUGUAGCAGUGAAAUGCGUAGAUAUGCGGAGGAACACCGAUGGCGAAGGCAAUCCCCUGGGCCUGUACUGACGCUCAUGCACGAAAGCGUGGGGAGCAAACAGGAUUAGAUACCCCGGUAGUCCCUGUCUCUUAUAU